rnacentral:tRNA from 1 species
GCGGAUAUGGCGGAAUUGGCAGACGCACUGGUUUCAGGUUCCAGCGGGUAAUUCCAUGCAGGUUCGAGUCCUGUUAUCCGCA